rnacentral:rRNA from 1 species
AGAGUUUGAUCCUGGCUCAGAACGAACGCUGGCGGCGUGCUUAACACAUGCAAGUCGAGUGCGCGCCUGUAGCAAUACAGGUGGCGCACGGCGCACGGGUGCGUAACACGUGGGUAACCUGCCCUUUAGUGGGGAAUAACCUCGCGAAAGCGAGGCUAAUUCCGCAUAAGAUCCGCAAGGAUGAAAGCCGAAAGGCGCUGAUGGAGGGGCCCGCGCACGAUUAGCUAGUUGGUGAGGUAAUGGCUCACCAAGGCUAUGAUCGUUAGCUGGUCUGAGAGGAUGGCCAGCCACACUGGAACUGAGACACGGUCCAGACUCCUACGGGAGGCAGCAGUGGGGAAUCUUGCACAAUGGGCGAAAGCCUGAUGCAGCGACGCCGCGUGGGGGAUGAAGCUUCUCGGAGUGUAAACCCCUUUCGACCCGGACGAAUACCUCGCAGGAGGGGUGACGGUACGGGUAUAAGAAGCCCCGGCUAACUACGUGCCAGCAGCCGCGGUAAGACGUAGGGGGCCAGCGUUGUUCGGAAUUACUGGGUGUAAAGGGUUCGUAGGCGGUGUGGCAAGUCGGGAGUGAAAUUUCUGGGCUCAACUCAGAGACUGCUUCCGAAACUGCUGUGCUGGAGUGUGGGAGAGGCGCGUGGAAUUGCAGGUGUAGCGGUGAAAUGCGUAGAUAUCUGCAGGAACACCCGUGGCGAAAGCGGCGCGCUGGACCACUACUGACGCUGAGGAACGAAAGCUAGGGGAGCAAACAGGAUUAGAUACCCUAGUAGUCC